UCUAUAGCUUUAUCGCCUACCCUGCAACGCAGCCCAACACUUCAGCAAGCUAGCGCACCGUAUGACAUUGGAGAAGUGGCACACACCUGAAUUCACCCACCAUCGAUUGCAUUCUCUCGGCGCAUCUAUGCAACUACGGCUGUUACCUGGGCUUCUGCGAAGUGAGGAG
rnacentral:lncRNA from 1 species